GACGAACGCUGGCGGCGUGCCUAAUACAUGCAAGUCGAGCGAAGCGGCGGAUGGGUGAGAAACGCGUGGGUAACCUGCCAUGAAGUCUGGGAUAUCAUAAGGAAACAGAUGUUAAUACCGGAUAGUAAAGGAUGGACCGGCGAUGCAUUAGCUAGUUGGUAAGGUAACGGCUUACCAAGGCGAUGAUGCAUAGCCGAGUUGAGAGACUGAUCGGCCACAUUGGGACUGAGACACGGCCCCAACUCCUACGGGAGGCAGCAGUAGGGAAUCUUCCACAAUGGACGAAAGUCUGAUGGAGCAACGCCGCGUGAGUGAAGAAGGUUUUCGGAUCGUAAAGCUCUGUUGUUGGUGAAGCGGUAAUCAACCAGAAAGUCACGGCUAACUACGUGCCAGCAGCCGCGGUAAUUC
rnacentral:rRNA from 1 species